rnacentral:rRNA from 1 species
AUUGAACGCUGGCGGCAGGCCUAACACAUGCAAGUCGAACGAGCGGCGGACGGGUGAGUAAUGUAUGGGAAUCUGCCCGAUGGAGGGGGAUAACUACUGGAAACGGUGGCUAAUACCGCAUACUAUCGGAUGAACCCAAAUGGGAUUGGCUAGUAGGUGGGGUAAAGGCUCACCUAGGCGACGAUCCCUAGCUGGUCUGAGAGGAUGAUCAGCCACACUGGAACUGAGACACGGCCCAGACUCCUACGGGAGGCAGCAGUGGGGAAUAUUGCACAAUGGGCGCAAGCCUGAUACAGCCAUGCCGCGUGUAUGAAGAAGGCCUUAGGGUUGUAAAGUACUUUCAGCGAGGAGGCGUUACCCGCAGAAGAAGCACCGGCUAACUCCGUGCCAGCAGCCGCGGUAAUAC